ensembl:misc_RNA Metazoa_SRP Metazoan signal recognition particle RNA
GCCAGGCACGGUGGCGGGUGCCUGUAAUCCCGUCUACUUGGGAGGCUGAGGCAGGAGAAUUGCUUGAACCCGGGAGGCAGAGUUUGCAGUGAGCUGAGAUCGCGCCACUGCACUCUAGCCUGGGUGACAGAGCAAGACUCUGUCUCAA